AAUGUCUCAAGAUAGCCAUGCACGUCUAAGUACAAACUAAAUGAUGGUGAAACUGCAAAUGGCUCAUUACAACGGUUAUGAUGUACCCGGGAGUUCCGAUGGAUAUUUCCAGUAACACUAGAACUAAUACAUGUCCCUGCGUUUAUUAGUUUCGCACAGUCCGUCGCUGAGUCAUGGUAAACAGUUGAUCGACUCGACGUCCCGGAACAGUUUCCGCCCCAUCAGCUUCGAUGGUUGGGUAUUGGCCUACCAUUGCAACAACGGGUAACGAGGAAUUAGGGUUUGAUUUCGGAGAGGGAGCCUGAGAAACGGCUACCACAUCUACGGAUGGCAGCAGGCGCGCAAAUUACCCAAUGCAGACACUGUGAGGUAGUGACGAGAAAUAAUAAAGCGGGACUUCUGUUUCGCUAUUAUAAUGAGGAAUAACCAAAGGUCAUUCCGAUUAGCAACUGAUGGGAAAGUCUGGUGCCAGCAGCCGCGGUAAUACCAGCGUCAGUAGC
rnacentral:rRNA from 1 species